UUCUUUUAUGUUUUUAAUAAAAUAAUAUUAAUAAUCUUCUAAUAAAAUAAAGCUAAAUUAUAGAAAACUUUUUAUAAACACUCAUUUUUUUACUUUUAUUUUCUAAUUUUUAAAAAUUUAUAUUUUACACCUUUAACAUUUCAAAUUAUUGUAUCUGGUUCUCUUCGUCAGAAUUCCAUCACUAUUUUCUUCAUUUCUUAUAAUUUAUACUAAAAAUACUCUUGAAAAUAAUAAAAAUAUAUUAAAAUU
rnacentral:lncRNA from 1 species